UACGUAGGCAGCGAGCGUUGUUCGGAGUUACUGGGCGUAAAGCGUGCGCAGGCGGUCUGUUAAGACCGAUGUGAAAUCCCCGGGCUUAACCUGGGAACUGCAUUGGUGACUGGCAGGCUUUGAGUGUGGCAGAGGGAGGUAGAAUUCCACGUGUAGCAGUGAAAUGCGUAGAGAUGUGGAGGAAUACCGAUGGCGAAGGCAGCCUCCUGGGCCAACACUGACGCUCAUGCACGAAAGCGUGGGGAGCAAACAGG
rnacentral:rRNA from 1 species